UACGUAGGGUGCAAGCGUUGUCCGGAAUUAUUGGGCGUAAAGAGCUCGUAGGCGGUCUGUCACGUCGGCUGUGAAAACCCGAGGCUCAACCUCGGGCCUGCAGUCGAUACGGGCAGACUAGAGUUCGGUAGGGGGAGACUGGAAUUCCUGGUGUAGCGGUGAAAUGCGCAGAUAUCAGGAGGAACACCGGUGGCGAAGGCGGGUCUCUGGGCCGAAACUGACGCUGAGGAGCGAAAGCAUGGGGAGCGAACAGG
rnacentral:rRNA from 1 species